AUGCUGUAGACCCGAAACCGGGUGACCUAUCCAUGUGCAGGUUGAAGCGAGAGUAAAAUCUCGUGGAGGACCGAACCCAUGUCUGUUUAAAAAGGCUGGGAUGACGUGUGGAUAGCGGUGAAAUUCCAAUCGAACCCGGAUAUAGCUGGUUCUCCUCGAAAUAGCUUUAGGGCUAGCCUCAAGUAAUGAUACCCGGGGGUAGAGCACUGAAUGUUCGCGGGGCCUUCACCGGUUACCAACAACUAUCAAACUCCGAAUACCGGAAUAUCAAACUUGGGAGUCAGACUAUGUGAGAUAAGUUUCAUAGUCGAAAGGGAAACAGCCCGGAUCAACAGCUAAGGUCCCAAAAUGUAAGUUAAGUGGAAAAGGAUGUGGAAUUGCGAAAACAACCAGGAUGUUGGCUUAGAAGCAGCCACUCAUUCAAAGAGUGCGUAACAGCUCACUGGUCGAGUGAUUAUGCGCCGAAAAUUAACGGGGCUAAACUAACCACCGAAGCCAUGGGAUUGUAUUUAUACAAUCGGUAGGGGAGCAACGUAUGCGGGCUGAAGCCAUACCGUAAGGAGUGGUGGACUGCAUAGGAGAGAGAAUGCCGGCAUGAGUAGCGAGAGGAAGGUGAGAAUCCUUCCCGUCGAAAGCCUAAGGUUUCCUGAGGAAGGUUCGUCCCCUCAGGGUAAGUCGGGACCUAAGCCGAGGACGAAAGUCGUAGGCGAUGGACAACAGGUAGAUAUUCCUGUACUACCGAUUAGUCGUUAUCACUGACGCAGUGACACAGGAGGAUAGGCAGAGCGGGUUGAUGGUAGAGCCCGUCCAAGCGUUGAGGCAGGCAAAGUAGUGAAGUACGCUUUGCUAAUGCUGGGGCGUUAAGGGGAGUGAAAUACAAGUAAUGAAGCUGCUGAAUUCACACUGGCGAGAAAAGCUGCUAAGGAGACUGAUAGGUACCCGUACCGCAAACCGACACAGGUGGGCGAGGAGAGAAUCCUAAGACGAGCGGAAGAACUAUUGUUAAGGAACUCGGCAAAAUGACCCCGUAACUUCGGGAGAAGGGGUGCCUGGGCGACCAGGCCGCAGAGAAAAGGCCCAAGCGACUGUUUAUCAAAAACACAGGUCUGUGCAAAAUCGAGAGAUGACGUAUACGGGCUGACGCCUGCCCAGUGCUGGAAGGUUAAGGGGAAAUGUUAGGAGCAAUCCGAAGCAUGGAACUUAAGCCCCAGUGAACGGCGGCCGUAACUAUAACGGUCCUAAGGUAGCGAAAUUCCUUGUCGGGUAAGUUCCGACCCGCACGAAU
rnacentral:rRNA from 1 species